rnacentral:snRNA from 1 species
AGUGUAUUUGUGGGCUCUUCAGUUUUAAUGACGCCAAGAGGAUUAGCAUGGCCCCUGUACAAGGAUGACACACAAAAUUCAUUAUUAUUAUUAUUAUUAU